rnacentral:pre_miRNA from 1 species
AAGAGAUUCCUGAGACCUGAUUCUAGAAGCUUCCCCUAGAAUCGGUAUCCGGACCCUCUGGU